rnacentral:misc_RNA from 1 species
GAAAUGCGAUAAGUAAUGUGAAUUGCAGAAUUCCGUGAAUCAUCGAAUCUUUGAACGCACAUUGCGCCCCCUGGUAUUCCGGGGGGCAUGCCUGUCCGAGCGUCAUUUCAACCCUCAAGCACGGCUUGUGUGAUGGGCCACGCGUCCGCUCUGAUAGCGGACGGGCCCCAAAUGGAGUGUGCGGCGCGGUGCGCUUAGCUGCAGUGUAUGGGAACAUCUCACACUCGCGGUGCGUCACUACGCUCGUCUCUAGAUAUCUUCCUCGGUUUGACCUCGGAUCAGGUAGGGAUACCCGCUGGACUUAAGCAUAUCAAUAAGCGGAGGACUGUCUCCUUAUACACAUCUCCCGAGCCCAC